UACGUAGGGGGCAAGCGUUGUCCGGAUUUAUUGGGCGUAAAGAGCGUGUAGGCGGCUUCACAGGUCCGCUGUGAAAACUCGAGGCUCAACCUCGAGCUGUCGGUGGAAACCGUGUGGCUAGAGUCCGGAAGAGGAGAGUGGAAUUCCCGGGUGUAGCGGUGAAAAUGCGCAGAUAUCGGGAGGAACACCAAUGGCGAAGGCAGCUCGCUGGGACGGUACUGACGCUGAGACGCGAAAGCGUGGGGAGCAAACAGGG
rnacentral:rRNA from 1 species